rnacentral:tRNA from 1 species
GGGAAUAGCUCAGCUGGUAGAGCGCAACGUUGCCAACGUUGAGGUCGCGGGUUCGAAUCCCGUUUCCC